rnacentral:rRNA from 1 species
GAUGGGAGCUUGCUCCCUGAUGUUAGCGGCGGACGGGUGAGUAACACGUGGGUAACCUGCCUGUAAGACUGGGAUAACUCCGGGAAACCGGGGCUAAUACCGGAUGCUUGUUUGAACCGCAUGGUUCAAACAUAAAAGGUGGCUUCGGCUACCACUUACAGAUGGACCCGCGGCGCAUUAGCUAGUUGGUGAGGUAACGGCUCACCAAGGCAACGAUGCGUAGCCGACCUGAGAGGGUGAUCGGCCACACUGGGACUGAGACACGGCCCAGACUCCUACGGGAGGCAGCAGUAGGGAAUCUUCCGCAAUGGACGAAAGUCUGACGGAGCAACGCCGCGUGAGUGAUGAAGGUUUUCGGAUCGUAAAGCUCUGUUGUUAGGGAAGAACAAGUACCGUUCGAAUAGGGCGGUACCUUGACGGUACCUAACCAGAAAGCCACGGCUAACUACGUGCCAGCAGCCGCGGUAAUACGUAGGUGGCAAGCGUUGUCCGGAAUUAUUGGGCGUAAAGGGCUCGCAGGCGGUUUCUUAAGUCUGAUGUGAAAGCCCCCGGCUCAACCGGGGAGGGUCAUUGGAAACUGGGGAACUUGAGUGCAGAAGAGGAGAGUGGAAUUCCACGUG